UUACAACUGAAAGACUUUAAUUCUUCACUAUUUCAUGGUAUGAAAUAUAACAAGGAAAUCUAAUAACAACCAAAUAUGGCAUGCAACACUAAAAACAUCCUGCAACUAAAAUAACAAAAAAGUAUAAUGCUUUGUAGAUUUUACAUUCCACCUAAUCUCGAGUUUCUACUGUACUGCAGGUUACUAGCUCUGUUACAGUCAAUAUAUACUUAGCCUUCUGCUUCAUCGGUUAAUGAGUAUAUGUAAAAGUUUUAAUCAGGUUGCUAAUAUAUAGAUAUUUAAGUAUCUUAAGUUUAUAUAAAUUGUAACAAACUAGUAAAACGUUUGUCACAGUAAGGUCAACAAACGGUUCUGUGGCCUGUUAAGUCAAGCUCUAUAACUAUGACAUGAUGUCAAUAAAAUCCUGAGCUGAUGAUGUAAUGUGAAAUUUGUUGAUACCAGUAGGUUAUUUUUAAUCCAUACAGAGAGAACAUAGUUGUUCGGAGUUAAACCAAAUGAGGAAUUACACAGGAUUACAUAAUCUAAAUAAAAUUGUAUUGCUUAAAAAUUAUUGAGAUGUGUAAAAAAUAGAAAAGGAAACAACUCAAAAAUGUAAUUCGUGGUGAUGCCCAUGCAGAUAAAAACUGACAUAAAUUAAUUGACGAGAGCGCUAGCUCAACAAGAUACAAAGUAGCUAUGCCAUGCUAUAUAUACAUCCAUGAUCAAUUGAGUCGAUAAUAUACCAACUGGCAAUCAGAAUCUUCGGAAAUAUCUAUUCUUCAAACCUAUGAACUAUAAUUGAAUGGUGAUUCACCAUAAUUAUAAAAAGACUAACAUCAAAGCCUUGAUCAGACUAGUAUGGUCACAGCUCCCUAUACACACUACACACAGAUUUCUGACUGAUUAAAGGGCAGAUAAUGGGUUCUAUUCACAAUCAAUGUUAUUUCACAAACCAUCUCACCAAAAUUGGUAGAUUUCCUUUUCGAUCCACCUAUUUCAUUCCAAAAAUAGACAAGAAGGCUUCAUCCCAAAUGAUUGUAUAAUCCCUGCUGUAAAUUAUCCACAUACCAGUUCCUACAUUCAGUUCCCUACAUGGCCUCAUCUCAAAUAAUUGUAAAACCUUUGGAUUGGUUUAUUUUGUGUAAUGUCCUAUCAACAGCCAGGGUCAAUUAAGGAUGUGCCAGGCUUUGGAGGUGGAGGAAAACCGGAGUACCCGGAGAAAUGCCACCGGCCUAUGGCCAGUAUUUAUAUCAGGCAACUGCUGCCCCACGUAGGUUUUGAACUCGCAACACAGAGGUGGAGGGCUAGUGAUAAAGUGUCAGGACACCUUAACCACUCGUUAAUUGUAAAACCCUGGUGGAAUUUGUCCACAUACCAGUUCCUACAUCCAUUGCUGUAUAUGGCCUCACCUCAAAUAAAUUAUAAAAAACCCUGCCAUAAAUUGUCCACAAACCUACAUUCAUUGUCUUACAUAUAGAUGCUUUUACAGUAAUGUUUACUGAUGAUAAUUCAUGACUAAUUAAUU